rnacentral:tRNA from 1 species
GGCUCAGUGGUCUAGGGGUAUGAUUCUCGCUUUGGGUGCGAGUGGUCCCUGGUUCAAAUCCCGGCUGAGCCC